AAUCAGUUAUGGUUCCUUAGAUCGUUCAUACUACAUGGAUAACUGUGGUAAUUCUAGAGCUAAUACAUGCAAAAAGCUCCGACCGUAUGGGAAGAGCGCUUUUAUUAGACCAAAACCAAUGGGGUCGCAAGAUCCCUUUGUAUGGUGACUCUGGAUAACUUUGUGCUGAUCGCAUGGCCUAGAGCCGGCGACGUAUCUUUCAAGUGUCUGCCCUAUCAACUUUCGAUGGUAAGCGAUUUGCCUACCAUGGUUGUAACGGGUAACGGGGAAUCAGGGUUCGAUUCCGGAGAGGGAGCAUGAGAAAUGGCUACCACAUCUACGGAAGGCAGCAGGCGCGCAAAUUACCCACUCCUAGAACGGGGAGGUAGUGACGAAAAAUAACAAUACCGGACUCAAUGAGGCUCGGUAAUUGAAAUGAGUACAGUUUAAAACCCUUAACGAGGAUCUAUUGGAGGGCAAGUCUGGUGCCAGCAGCCGCGGUAAUUCCAGCUCCAAUAGCGUAUAUUAAAGUUGUUGCAGUUAAAAAGCUCGUAGUUGGAUCUCGGGUACUAGCAUGUGGUACGCUUAAUUGCUGUUACUACAUGUCUGGUCCUAAUCAACCGGUUGGCCGUUGAUGUCCUUUAUUGGGUGUUUUCGGUAGCCGGUACGUUUACUUUGAGAAAAUUAGAGUGCUUAAAGCAGGCCUUACGCCUGAAUAAUGUUGCAUGGAAUAAUAGAAUAGGACCUCGGUUCUAUUUUGUUGGUUUUGUAGAGCAUUGAGGUAAUGAUUAAUAGGGACAGACGGGGGCAUUCGUAUUGCGGUGUUAGAGGUGAAAUUCUUGGAUCGCCGC
rnacentral:rRNA from 1 species